rnacentral:rRNA from 1 species
CCCCUACGGGGGGCAGCAGUGGGGGAUAUUGCACAAUGGGGGGAACCCUGAUGCAGCGACGCCGCGUGGGCGAUGGAGUACUUCGGUAUGUAAAGCCCUAUCGGCAGGGAAGAAAAUGACGGUACCUGACUAAGAAGCCCCGGCUAAAUACGUGCCAGAAGCCGCGGUAAUACGUAUGGGGAAAGCGUUAUCCGGAUUUACUGGGGGUAAAGGGAGCGUAGGCGGCCUGGCAAGCCUGAUGUGAAAGACCGGGGCCAAAC